UAUGGCUAUAUCACGUUGAAACACCGGUACUUAUAUGAUCACCGAAAUUAAGCAAGGUCGCGUCUAGUCAGUACCUAGAUGGGUGACCGAUUGUGAAUACCAGGUUCUGUAAG